rnacentral:rRNA from 1 species
GGCAAAGCCGCGAGGUGGAGCAAAUCUCAAAAAGCGUCCCAGUUCGGAUUGCAGGCUGCAACCCGCCUGCAUGAAGUUGGAAUCGCUAGUAAUCGCGGAUCAGCAUGCCGCGGUGAAUACGUUCCCGGGCCUUGUACACACCGCCCGUCACACCAUGAGAGUCGGGAACACCCGAAGUCCGUAGCCUGACCGCAAGGAGGGAGCUGCCUAAGGUGGGGUAGAUGAUUGGGGUGAAGUCGUAACAAGGUAUC